AUGGCCUCCAAAGGGCUGAUCUGCCUCUUUGCUCCCGUCUACAACCUGUUUCAGCUGCCUGCCAGAAGUGCCCUCGGAACCUUCCCAUCCACAAAACUGGUUUGGCUCACCACUGAUUGAAUUCCCAAUUCCGUGACUAUUGCCAAUGACGAGUGCAUUACCUCGGUGUGAAAGGUACCACCAAACAUCGGCUUUCGGGGACACAGAUACUCAAGUUCCAAGGUAUCUUCCAAUAAGAGAAACUAGAGAAAGAUCCAGCUGGAGCUGUUACCAAUUUGUCUUUUCCAUCUCAAAAGUGAGCCUCCCCAAAUCCAGGGCUUAGGGGCUUUCUAGAGAGGGGGAAGUUCAUAGUUCUUGUAGAUGUUGUGUGUCUUGCACAACUUCCCUACCGGCUUAUUUUCCUGCAGAUAAGAGGUUGUAGUUAUGGGUGUCACUGUAUUUAUUGGUCCAAAAGACUGGUACAAAGGACAGGCAGGCAGAGAGGGCACUGACUCACAAAGGUUGCCGUCUGCCUGUCCCUUUGGAAGGGACAGGACAGUCCAUCGAGUCCAACUCUUCACACCCGAGUGCUGUUGGGUUCUUUCCACAUGACCACAAGCACUUGAAUACCCUUCCUCUGUAGCAAAGCCUGUAAGCGCAGGGCACCCUGGGAACCCCCACAGGUGAGGCCGUGUGAACUGCGUGGGCUGUGGUUGCAGAGAGGAGAAUGUAAAUGGGAUCAAAUAUAGUAAGUAUGCUUGUGACAUAGAGUCACCAUUAGAGUUUGCCUGUUGAUGUUGGACUGCUACGUGCCACCCAGGACUGUUUCUAAGAAUCUGAACAUGUACCCCGGGGCUUAGGAGAGAAGAUGAAAAAAGGAAUUUGGUGUCCUUGCCAAGAUUUCUAGAUAAUGGGAAGGAUUUUUUUAGGAGGAAAUCAUAUUCAUCCCAGGGCUGGGAGGGUGGAGUGGGAAGAAGACAGCCUUAGCGAGUAAGAAAAUACUGCCAAAACCGAGGCUGACUCAGAAUAUAGCCUCUAGACCAACAGAAAAGAGGUGAGGGGAGCUGUCCUACUCUCUUUCACUGAAAAGCUCCUCAUCCUACUCUCCAUAUUCCUGGCUGCCCACAUCUGGUAGUCACCAAGUCCAACUAAGCUCUCUUACCUGAGUCUGGAAUCCAUCUUCCCCCUCUCCAUUUCUCCAGCCUGAGUUCAAUCUGUUACCCUCUUUCACCGGAAUCACUGUGGUAGUCUCCUAACUGGUUUUCCUGCUUGCGAUCUUCCCCCGACAACCCAUAUCUCAUCUAGGGGAUCUUUUAUUGUUUAAUAAUGGGAAUUUAUUGGGA
rnacentral:lncRNA from 1 species